rnacentral:tRNA from 1 species
AUUCUUAUAGCUUAUUAUUUAGAGUUUAAUAUUGAAAGUAUUAAUGUGUAAUUUAUUACUGAGAAUA